GCCUGCCCUCCCUGUUCUGACCCACCGACCUGAACUUGGGUCCAUUUAUACAGCAGAGACCAGCUCUAACAGCAAGAGGCCAGAAAGGCUACUGGAGUCCCUCAGAGUUGCUGAUCUGUUCUGACACUCACUCGCCUGCCCACCCUGCUCUGACCCACCUGAUCCUCACACCCGCCUAGUUACCUUUUCACCAUUUUGAGAGGAGAGGCCCAAGCCCAACAGUGAGAGUCAGAAAGGUGAGCUUGAACUUCUCCCUCACCCACUACCAACACCUCAAGGACAGAGGCCACUGGUGGGUGCCUGCACCACUCAGGUCUGGGGCUGAGGUGACAAGGACUGCCGGCACCAACCACUGAGCAUGCAGCACCCCUCAGGGCCAGAAUGCCCAAGUCCCUUUGAGGAGCCUGAGGUGACAGCUCAGACUCCUGGCCCAGAAGGGAAGAGGGGGAGGAGGAAGGAGGGGAGAGAAUCCAGGUGCUGGAGGAGGAAGAGGGGAAGGAUGGGGAGGAAGGAAGGUCUAGCUGGACCAGAAUUGGAUGGAGAAAGGAGGAAGGACGAGGUGAUUGAAGAGGAGUAUAAAAUACAGGAGGGUGAGGUAGUAAAAGACAGAUGGUUGGGGGGAGGGGAAUAGCAGGAGGAAGGAAGCGGAGGAGAGGUGGGGAGAUGGAGGUGGAUGGAAGAGAAUGCAGGUGAGAUGGAGAGGGGAGUGAAAGAGAAGCAGGGUGUCCAGACCAGCCCAGGGUCUGCUGUAUUGAGUUCCAAAUGGUGUUUCUUAAAAGUUGUACCUGAGGGAGCACCUUCUUUGAUGCUGUGACCCAGGGAACCUCAGGCAGCUGGGUGAGGCCUGGGUGGGAAAUCUCUGUCCUGAUUCAAAUCCAAAGGCAAAAACUGAGGGUCCACAUCACUAUCCUCCCAGAAACCUCUAAGAUGGAGGAGUGAAGGAAGGUCAGGGAUAGGAGACCAAGUGUUCCUGAGGGUUGAUAUGCCCAAGUCCAUUGCCUGCCAGGCUACAGCUGCCCCAGUCACCUUCUCCUGAGAGCCUUGCCCCUGGAGAGGAGGACUUCCCUGGUUAUGCGCUCAAUGUUGACCCUGAUCUCUGCCAUCAACUCUAUGUGGGGGGAAUGACAGUAAACUCACAAUUCUGCCUGCUGUCUGACAGCCACUCUGCUUUGUGUCCCCAGGCAGUUGGAGGCCCUCGUGGUCACUGACCUGCUCUGACGCCUGCUCAUCUGUCUGCCCAACCUUUUUUGACCCACUUGAUUCCCCCACCUGACUGGUUAUCUUGUUACCAUUUUGUGAGGAGAGGCCCAUAUCCAACUGUGAGAGUGAGAAAGGUGAGCAGGAGCUGCACCCUCAUCCCAUACCAACCCCUCAAGUACAGAGGUCACUGGUGGGUACCCAGACCACUCAGGGCUGGGGGGGGAGGUGACAAUGACCUCCAGUACCAACCACUGAGCAUGCAGCCCCCUCAGGGAUCCCUGCAGUGCAGGCUGCUACCAGAGGUGCCUGAGUCCCUGUCAGGAGCCUGAGGUCAGAGCAAAAGACACCUGGCCCAGAAAAGCAAGGUUCAGAGUAGGAGGGAGGGAAGCAGAUGCAGGAGAGGAGAAGGAUGGGAGGAAGGAAGGUCCAGCUACACCAGAGUUGGAUGUAGGUGAGGAGGUGGUGCGUGAGGACAAGAAAUGAAGACAGGAGUGAGAGAAAGAAGAAAAAAGAUGGAUGAAGUGUUAGGCAAUUGAUGGAGGAGGAGGAGUUAGAGGAAGGGGAGGACUGAGCAGGAGGAGAUGGAUGGUGCAAGAAGUGGAUGGAAGAGGAUGAAGCAGAGAUGGAAGAGGAUGUGGAGGAGAAGCAGGGGGUCCAGGCCAGCCCUGAGAGUUGAUCUUGGGUUCCAAGUUGAGUUGCUAGAGAUUAUACUUGAUUUACACCCUAAUUUAAUGCUACAAACUCGCUAACCACAGGGAGCUGGGGGAGGCCUGGGUGGGAAAUUGCUGGUCUAAUUCUAGUCCAAUGGCAAUGACUUAGGGUUCACCAUGGAACCCCUAGGAUGGAGGGGAGAGGAGGAGUGAAGGAAGAGCAGGGUUAGGGACCGGGUGUUCCUGAGUUUUCAUGUGCCCGAGUCUAUCACCUGUCAGGCUACAUCUGUCUGUGGUCAUCCUCCCCUGCUGGGUUACAGCCCUGUCCCUGAAAAGGAUGACCUCCUUCAUUUUGGGCUCAGUACUGACCCUUACUUCUGACCUUAGCCCAAUAUUGUGUGGAAUUAGAAUGAACUUGCAGCUGCCUGGAACCCACUCUGCAUCAUGUCCCCAGGCAGGUGGAGGUUCUUGCGGUCACUGACCUGCUCUGAAGCUUGCUCAUCUUCUGGCCCUGAUCGAACCCACCUGAUCUCCACACCCACCUGCUUACCUUCUUACCAUCUUGAGAGGAGAGGCCCACAUCCAACAGGGAGUGUCAGAAAGGCAGUUGGAGGCCCUCGUGGUCACUGACCUGCUCUGACGCUCACUCACCUGCCUGCCCUGCUCUGACCCACCUGAUCCCCACACCCGCCUGGUUACCUCGUUACCAUCUUGAGAGGAGAGGCCCACAUCUAACAGCGAGAGUCAGAAAGGCAGUUGGAGGCCCUGUGGUCUCUGACCUGCUCUGACGCUCGUCCAUUUCUCCACCUCUCCCACCCCGUCCCUGGGUGCAUUUCCACCAAAGAGGCACAGAACCAGCAGCGAGAGGACACACAGGUAAGUGUGACUUGCUCCCUCACCACAUACUGACACUAGGGGACAGGGGCCUCUGGUGGGAGCCUGGACCACUCUGGUCUGUAGCCAAUGUGACAAGGAUCUACAGCACCAACCACUGAGGAUGCAGCCCGCUCAGGGAUCUGUGGUGUGUGGGAUGCUUUCAGAGGUACCUGAAUACCUGUGAGGAACCUGAGGUCUGAGCUCAGACCCCUGGCCCAGAAAAGGAAGGUGGGGAGGAGUAGUGAGGAGAGAGGAUGCAGGAGGAGGAGGAAGAGGUGGACUUACAAAGAAGCUGGAUCAGGUGGAGAGAUGGAUGUAGGAGGUAGAAGGAUGAAUAGCUGGUGGAGGAGCCAUGGAUGGGGAGGAGGAACGUGGAGGACUGUUGCGGAGGUGGAUGAAGGAGACACGGGCCCUGGGGAAUGGGCAGAAUGUAGCAUUGAGACCACUGUGGAUGAGUGUGGAUGUUGGAGGAAUGUGGAAAAGUGGUGGUGGGAGGCGGACAUUAGGGAGACAGAAGAGGAAGAGGUCGAGAGGCAGGAAUGGAAGGACGAGGAGCAACAUGGGGCAAUUGCAGAGGAGGAGGUCUGAGUUCAGGCAACUCUCCAGGUCCCAAUGGUCCCUCCAAGCCUCUUCUUUGGCCUGGAUCCUGGAGGUUUCCCAUCCAACCCACUGAGAUCAGGGACACCAGCUGGGUGAGCAUGUGUGGCCUGUGGGCUGGGGACAUAAGAGCCUCACCCAGUUCAGCAUCCU